GAUGAACGCUAGCUACAGGCUUAACACAUGCAAGUCGAGGGGUAACGAGAGGAAAGCUUGCUUUCCUUGUCGACGACCGGCGCACGGGUGAGUAACGCGUAUCCAACCUGCCCCCAACUAGGGAAUAACCUUGCGAAAGUAAGACUAAUACCCUAUAAUUUCCUCAGAUGUCAUCUGACGAGGAAUAAAGAUUUAUCGGUUGUGGAUGGGGAUGCGUCUGAUUAGCUUGUUGGCGGGGUAACGGCCCACCAAGGCAACGAUCAGUAGGGGUUCUGAGAGGAAGGUCCCCCACAUUGGAACUGAGACACGGUCCAAACUCCUACGGGAGGCUGCAGUGAGGAAUAUUGGUCAAUGGGCGGAAACCUGAACCAGCCAAGUAGCGUGCAGGAUGACGGCCCUAUGGGUUGUAAACUGCUUUUAUACAGGAAUAAAGUUAGCCACGUGUGGUUAUUUGUAGGUACUGCAUGAAUAAAGACCGGCUAAUUCCGUGCCAGCCGCCGCGGUAA
rnacentral:rRNA from 1 species